UUUUUUGGUAACUUGGUUGGGCUGAGCAGCUGAGUUCCCUUCGCGUGUUCCUAUGAUUUGAAAGUGAACUAAUAAAAAUCGUUCUAUUAUCCACGCAGCUCACUCACUCGCUGCUAAGACUUCCAGAGAAUCAAACCAGAGACUUCCACUUCAAAGUUGUCAACUUUUGUCGCUUGGGACUCAGCGAUCACACAGGAUACAAACAUAGAUAAAUGGUCUUGAAGCUGCUACCUGUAUCAUCUGCAUUAUGGGAUCCAUCUCAGAAGGGUGUUUGCCUGGGCAUAGUGGAGUUCAAGAGACCACAAUUAUCAGCUUUAAGGUCAUAUACUCUUGGUUUGAAGUUUGGGCAUGAACAGCUUCAGAAAGGUAGACCCAUAAUAUUGGGCACCUUCCUUUGUGCCAGUCAAAGGCCCAAAAAAUCUUCGUCAUUCAAAAUACAAGAAGCAUCUUCACAGAAUGUAGAUCUUCCACAGAGACUACCCAAGAACAAGAAGAAACCCUAUCCCAUUCCCUUUGAGAAGAUCAAGCAGGCUGCAAGAAAAGACAAGAAACUUGCACAAAUGGGCAUAGAGAAACCCCUUGACCCUCCAAAAAAUGGAUUACUUGUUCCUGAUCUGAUCCCUGUUGCGUAUGAAGUAGUAGAUGCCUGGAAAGUUUUGAUUAAAGGCCUUGCACAGCUCUUGCACAUUAUUCCUGUGUAUGCUUGCAGUGAAUGCUCCGAAGUUCAUGUGGCCCAGACUGGACACCACAUUCAAAACUGCCUUGGUCAAACCAGUGCAUCACGUCGAAGCUUCCACUCAUGGGUCAAGGGCUCUAUUAAUGACGUGCUUGUUCCCAUCGAGUCAUACCAUCUCUAUGACCCUUUUGGUCGGCGUAUUAAGCAUGAGACUCGAUUUGAAUAUGACAGAAUUCCAGCUGUUGUUGAGCUAUGCAUCCAAGCUGGUUUGGAUAUACCAGAGUACCCUUCACGCCGAAGAACCUCACCCAUUCGAAUGAUUGGGAAAAGAGUGAUAGACCGAGGUGGAUUUGUUGAGGAGCCUAAGCCAUGGCGCUCUGCAAAUUCAUAUUCACUCGCUGAUCUUGAUACAUAUGGGGCAUGUGGACGGUUUCCACCUCCGACAUCAUCAGAUGUAGCAAGGAUUGCGCAAGAGACAAUGGAUGCAUAUGAAAUUGUUAGAUUGGGUGUGGAGAAGUUGAUGAAGAAAUACACUGUGAAGGCAUGCGGGUAUUGUUCAGAGGUUCAUGUGGGUCCUUGGGGUCACAAUGCUAAGCUGUGUGGGGAAUUCAAGCACCAGUGGAGAGAUGGGAAGCAUGGUUGGCAGGAUGCCACUGUGGAUGAAGUUUUCCCUUCAAAUUAUGUCUGGCAUGUUCAAGACCCAAAAGGGCCCCCGAUGAGGGGUGCACUCAGGAGAUUUUAUGGGAAGGCUCCUGCUGUGGUUGAAGUGUGCAUGCAGGCUGGUGCUCAAAUCCCUAGAAAAUAUGUACCCAUGAUGAGACUUGACAUUGUUGUCCCUGAUAGUGAGGAGGCACGUUUGGUUGCCUAAUGGAGUCUGUCAAAGAUGAUUUGCUGACUGUAUAGUUUUUGGCAGAUUUUCUAGUUUCCUCAUCUUGACUCUUGAGAGGGGCAGGGUGAGUGUUAUCAACCUGUCAACAUACUAGCAUCUUCAAUUCUACUAGGUUGUUGGAAGCAUAAUUGUCAGGAGAAGAGGUGGUGCUGGAGUUGUCGUUGAUUGUCCAUAGAUUUUGAUUCAUGGAUUCUGUUGUCAUGCCUUAGGUCAUGACAAUUCAAGGUAUGAAUUGGUGAAAUUCCUAGGAAAUGCUUUCACCAAAUGAUAUGAACUUUGUACUUCUGAGUUCUGACUGCAUUUUUAUGCUGGGAACUGGUAUGAAUAUUUUGAACUUAAUUUUGCUUUAUUGGAUUUAUCAUUUUAGGAAGACUAUUUAGUUCAUUGUUAA